GAAACUUAGGUUAUAACAAACCCUGAGCCUUCAAAGCCCAAAAAAAGAAGCACUUCUUAGUUUCUG
rnacentral:tRNA from 1 species